UUUUUCGUGUAUAUGCAACGACUUUUGAACGUGUACAGGGCUGGUUUGUGUGUGUGCAAGCGCAGUCGCGGAGGGAACGGAGCAGUAGCCCCAGCCGCUGCAGAGAGCCGACAGCCAGGAUUGAAACGGUAAAUGUGAGACGUUGGCAGCACACAUGCCUGCUGCGCAUGCGGCUGCAUCUUCUGAACAAAACAAGGAGCUGUCAUUUCAGGCAAAGCGUGCAACCCUCCUCCUCCCCUUCCACCUCCAGUCAUCGCCACCCGCGGCACCCUGGGUCUUCCUCCGGCAGACCGCUACUUCGACUCCUUCGGUCUGGUCUUCGGGCUCCUUCACCACCACCAGUGUCUAGACUCCAUCGGGGGGGAUAUGUCCUGUUUUUCUACCCCUUUAACAAA